rnacentral:piRNA from 1 species
CAUCAUGAUGUUCCAUGCUGGGUCA